GACGAACGCUGGCGGCGUGCUUAACACAUGCAAGUCGAACGGAAAGGCCUCUUUCGGGGGGUACUCGAGUGGCGAACGGGUGAGUAACACGCGAGUAACCUGCCCUUGAAUUUGGGAUAACUUCAGGAAACUGGGGCUAAUACCGGACAGGAGCUCCUGCUGCAUGGAGGGGGUUGGAAAGUUUCGGCGGUUGGGGGUGGACUCGCGGCGUAUCAGCUUGUUGGUGGGGUAGUGGCUUACCAAGGCGUUGACGGGUAGCCGGCCUGGGAGGGUGACCGGCCACAUUGGGACUGAGGUACGGCCCAGACUCCUACGGGCGGCAGCAGUGGGGAAUAUUGCACAAUGGGUGGAAGCCUGAUGCAGCAACGCCGUGUGCGGGAUGACGGUCUUCGGGUUGUAAACCGCUUUCGCUCAUGACGAAGCUUUGUGUGACGGUAGUGGGUAAAGAAGCACCGGCUAACUACGUG
rnacentral:rRNA from 1 species